AUGCCUCCUUGUCAUUCCCUCCGCAAGGCUACAACUAAACUAGGUAGGUUUGGGAUGCAGAUUAUGCCGACGGCAAAAGGCUCAUCAUCUCUCCCAACAUCUCUUCAUCCUCCACUUCUUCUGCUGCUGCUGCUGCUUGUUAUCCGGCCAUCGAAGGUGGUGGCGGACGACGGCAAGAAGCGCACCACGCCUCCCAGCUCCGGUGCUGCUCCUCAACUUCUUUCCGAAGCUCAUUUCAGGGCCGGUGAGCACAGUAAUUCCGGGAACCGCCAUCCUCCCACUCCUCCAAGCCCUGCUGCUGCUGCUAAACUUCCACCCACUCCUCCAAACUCCGCUGCUGAAGGUUCCAGCGCCGAUGGGCAUCGUCGUUGUACGUCCGGCGCCUCCAACACUGGGGAUAAUCCAGACGGCAGAAAGGGGGACGGUGUCUGCCGAGGUGCUGCCUCCCCAUACAAAGGUCCCAAGCAGGAUUGUGAUGCUCCUCCAUGCUAA
rnacentral:rRNA from 1 species